AACGCUGGCGGCGUGCCUAACACAUGCAAGUCGAACGAAGCACUGUGAAAAGAGACUUCGGUCAAUGGACACUUGACUAGUGGCGGACGGGUGAGUAAUGCAUGAGCAAUCUGCCCUGGAGUGGGGGACGACAGUUGGAAACGACUGCUAAUACCGCAUGAAGUUCCGGGAGGGCAUCCUCCUGAAACCAAAGAUUUAUCGCUCUGGGAUGAGCUCAUGUCUGAUUAGCCAGUUGGCGGGUAACGGCCCACCAAAGCUACGAUCAGUAGCCGGACUGAGAGGUUGAACGGCCACAUUGGGACUGAGAUACGGCCCAGACUCCUACGGGAGGCAGCAGUGGGGAAUAUUGGGCAAUGGGGCCGCAAGCCUGACCCAGCAACGCCGCGUGAAGGAAGAAGGCUUUCGGGUUGUAAACUUCUUUUACCAGGGACGAAGAAAGUGACGGUACCUGGAGAAUAAGCCACGGCUAACUACGUGCCAGCCGCCGC
rnacentral:rRNA from 1 species